rnacentral:lncRNA from 1 species
CUAUUAGUGGCCUAAACAUACAGAAGAAGUAAUAAAACAUUUUUUUUAAGUAAAUGUAUUACUCCUGAUGUCACAUGUUGCCAUGGAAACGUCCAAUGACAAACGGCUGAGGUGCCCCAUGACAGAGAAGAGAAGACACAGUUGGUGAGACAGUUGUGCUAAAGGCAAGAGGGGGAAAUCCCUCGGAGCGAGAGAGAGAGAGAGAGAGACAUAAUAUGACAUUUGAAAUGUCUCUAUUAUUUUGGAACUUCCAAGGGAUAUGCCUUUCGGUAUUGUUCUUGCCUGGGAGGGAAAAUGUCACAGCAGUGGCGCUGGUGCUGGCGCUGCUUUGGAGCGGAUCUGACACUCCGGAGACUUCCCUACACAUAUCCUCAUGCUUUACAUGCCAGAGUCCCCCAAAGAGGAGCUGCGGAUGCACAGAGUAGGCAACCUGAGCUACAGGGAAAAUAGCAGAGGGAGGUCAAAGGCCACUAACAGAGUGGUUGGAACAAAACAGAAGCAGUGGGUGGUCCGGGGGAAGAUGGCUGACUCACCUCUGGUGGUCCAACAUCAAGAGGACUGGAGGACAAAGACAAUAAUACAUGGAGCAGCUUCCUGGACUCUCUGUCUACUCUGGCUGCACAGGAAAUGGAGCAGCUCCCUGGACUCUGUCUAAACUGGCUGCACAGGAAAGGGAGCAGCUCCUUAGACUCUGUCUACUCUGGCUGUACAGGAAAUGGAGCAGCCCCCUGGACUCUGUCUACUCUGGCUGCACAGGAAAUGGAGCAGCUUCCUGGAUUCUGUAUACUCUGGCUGCACAGG